UCAGCAGUCCAAAAUAUUAGUCAAUGCUCCAAAGAGUGAACUAGCUAACUGAAAUCAAUUUUUAAAAUUGAUAACAUAAGGGAAAAUAAUGAUAUUACCUUAUUAUUAGUGUCGUCCAAAUUUGGUGCCAGAAGACUCGGUAAGGCCAGAGACACAAACGUUAAUCGUCUUAAUCAGGCGUAAAGGGUUUGUAGGCGGCUUUAAAAAUUAUUUAAAUAAAAAUUUAAUAAUUAAAGAAUAAAAGCUAGAAUCAAACAGAGGAUAUAUUAAAGAAUGCUUAGAGCAGGUCUGAUAUCCUUAGAUACUAAGUAGAAUAUUAAAGGCGAAAGCUUUUUUCCAUUAAUGAUUGACGCUCAGAAACGAAGGUGAGGAUAGGAAAUAGGAUUAGAUACCCAAAAUACCCCUCUCUGUCAACGAUGAAUGGUAGUUAUUAAUAAAAAUUAUUAUUAAUGACAAUGUUAACACGAUAACCAUUCCGCCUUGUGAGUACAACUGCAAAGUUGAAAACAAAAAAAUUAGUCGGUUUCGGAGCAAACGAAGUGAAGCAUGUUAUUUAAUUCAAUAAUCCGCAAA
rnacentral:rRNA from 1 species